GAUGAACGCUGGCGGCGUGCCUAAUACAUGCAAGUCGAGCGAACAGACGAGGAGCUUGCUCCUCUGACGUUAGCGGCGGACGGGUGAGUAACACGUGGAUAACCUACCUAUAAGACUGGGAUAACUUCGGGAAACCGGAGCUAAUACCGGAUAAUAUAUUGAACCGCAUGGUUCAAUAGUGAAAGACGGUUUUGCUGUCACUUAUAGAUGGUCCGCGCCGCAUUAGCUAGUUGGUAAGGUAACGGCUUACCAAGGCAACGAUGCGUAGCCGACCUGAGAGGGUGAUCGGCCACACUGGAACUGAGACACGGUCCAGACUCCUACGGGAGGCAGCAGUAGGGAAUCUUCCGCAAUGGGCGAAAGCCUGACGGAGCAACGCCGCGUGAGUGAUGAAGGUCUUCGGAUCGUAAAACUCUGUUAUUAGGGAAGAACAAAUGUGUAAGUAACUAUGCACGUCUUGACGGUACCUAAUCAGAAAGCCACGGCUAACUACGU
rnacentral:rRNA from 1 species